rnacentral:snRNA from 1 species
GGAUAUGAGGGAGAUUUGACUGUGACAUCUGUCACACUGAUUGCCAGGGCUGAUUGAGUAGAUCUGACUGGCUAGAUGGGUGUCUCUGUCCUCACUCACUGUUCCAUGUUGUCCCCAGUGAAACCACACAGUAGGUCAAAGAGGAUGAGUCUUCCUGGAAUACAGUCAGGCCCAGACCACCCUUGGUCCAAGGUACACAAGUAGCUAGCUGAGCUCCCCCACCCAAUUUUAUUUUUUUUUUUUUUUUGUAGUGAAGCAGGAUUUAUUGAACAAAACUAGAAAGAUGUGAGCAGGGAAGAAAGAAAGGCAUAUGUGUUCU